GCCGGGUAUGGUGAUGCACGCCUGUAAUCCCAGCUACUCAGGAGGCUGAGGCAGGAGAAUCGCUUGAACCUGGGAGGCAGAGGUUGCAGUGAGCUGAGAUUGCACCACUGCACUCUAGCCUGGGUGACAGAGCGAGACUCUGUCUCAA
rnacentral:sRNA from 1 species